GUGGACGCCACACGAGUGAGAAUUCAGGCAUGAGUAGCGAAAGACGGGUGAGAAACCCGUCCGCCGGAUGACCAAGGGUUCCUGGGCCAGGCUAAUCCGCCCAGGGUAAGUCGGGACCUAAGGCGAGGCCGACAGGCGUAGUCGAUGGACAACGGGUUGAUAUUCCCGUACCCGUGGUAGCGCGCCCAUACUGAUCCUCGCGGAAGCCGCCGAUGCCGGCUUGAUGUCCUUCGGGACUGAGAGCUGGUGGGUGUGGUGGAUGUGGGGGGUAGGUAAACGAUGGGGAGACGCAGGAAGGUAGCCCAUCCCGGGCGGUGGUUGUCCCGGGGUAAGGAUGUAGGGCGGGGAGUAGGUAAAUCCGCUUCCCAUACAGCCUGAGAUCUGAUGCCGAGCCUUCGGGCGAAGUGGGUGAUCCUAUGCUGCCGAGAAAAUCCUCUAGUGAGUGCUGCUGCGGCCCGUACCCUAAACCGACACAGGUGGUCAGGUAGAGAAUACUAAGGCGAUCGAGAGAACUCUGGUUAAGGAACUCGGCAAAAUGCCCCCGUAACUUCGGGAGAAGGGGGGCCGGAUCUGGUGAGGGAACUUGCUUCCUGAGCUGGGGCCGGCCGCAGAGACCAGCGAGAAGCGACUGUUUACUAAAAACACAGGUCCGUGCGAAGUUGUAAAACGAUGUAUACGGACUGACGCCUGCCCGGUGCUGGAACGUUAAGGGGACCGGUUAGCCUUCGGGCGAAGCUGAGAACUUAAGCGCCAGUAAACGGCGGUGGUAACUAUAACCAUCCUAAGGUAGCGAAAUUCCUUGUCGGGUAAGUUCCGACCUGCACGAAUGGCGUAACGACUUCUCGACUGUCUCAACCGGAGACUCGGCGAAAUUGCACUACGAGUAAAGAUGCUCGUUUCGCGCAGCAGGACGGAAAGACCCCGGGACCUUUACUACAGCUUGAUAUUGGUGCUCGGAACGGCUUGUGUAGGAUAGGUGGGAGACUGUGAAGCUCGGACGCCAGUUCGGGUGGAGUCACUGUUGAAAUACCACUCUGGUCGUUCUGGGUGUCUAACCCAGGCCCCUGAAUCGGGGUCGGGGACAGUGUCUGGUGGGUAGUUUAACUGGGGCGGUUGCCUCCUAAAAGGUAACGGAGGCGCUCAAAGGUUCCCUCAGCCUGGUUGGCAAUCAGGUGGCGAGUGUAAGUGCACAAGGGAGCUUGACUGUGAGACGUACAUGUCGAGCAGGUGCGAAAGCAGGAACUAGUGAUCCGGCGGUGGCUUGUGGAAGCGCCGUCGCUCAACGGAUAAAAGGUACCCCGGGGAUAACAGGCUGAUCUUGCCCAAGAGUCCAUAUCGACGGCAUGGUUUGGCACCUCGAUGUCGGCUCGUCGCAUCCUGGGGCUGGAGUAGGUCCCAAGGGUUGGGCUGUUCGCCCAUUAAAGCGGUACGCGAGCUGGGUUUAGAACGUCGUGAGACAGUUCGGUCCCUAUCCGCUGCGCGCGCAGGAGACUUGAGAAGGGCUGUCCCUAGUACGAGAGGACCGGGACGGACGAACCUCUGGUGUGCCAGUUGUUCUGCCAAGGGCAUGGCUGGUUAGCUACGUUCGGAAGGGAUAACCGCUGAAAGCAUCUAAGCGGGAAGCUCGCUUCAAGAUGAGGUCUCCCACAGGGUCAACCUGGUAAGGCCCCCGACAAGACCAUCGGGUUGAUAGGCCGGAAGUGGAAGCCGAGCAAUCGGUGCAGCUGACCGGUACUAAUAGGCCGAGGGCUUGACCAC
rnacentral:rRNA from 1 species